rnacentral:lncRNA from 1 species
UGCUUUGGUCAGAUACCCCUUUGCCCCUUAGAAUGCUGGCAUCAAGCCUGCCUUUUGAAUCCAUGGUGGUUUUUCCAGUUGGUAAGAAUUCCAUUCCAUCCUGCCUUUCAAAUUUAACUGAAAUGUCACCUCCAAUACUCUGAAUAGGAUAAUCAUUGUGAUCAAAAGUAAUGUCAGCUCCAUUUUCAGUUAAUAUUUCCUUAUCUACAACACUCAUUGCUGGAUGGAAGGUAUCAGCUUCUGGAUUCAAAUUAGAUGUCAUUUCUAUGGGUACCUCUGCCAUAAAGCUCUUGGGAGAAAUAACUAAGUUAGGUCCUUUCCUACUAUUCCUGAUCUCUUUGAUAUCCAGAUCCUGUAAUGGUAUGGCUGAUUCAAAAGAAAUGUGGAGAGGUCCUUACUUUGGAAUACACAAAGGACUAGCCAUAGACCCUUCUUACAAGGAGCAUCUUAGGGCAAGAAGAGUGGAAAGCCAAGGGUGCGAUGCAGUGUGGCCAUAGGUGGAACGACUGGAUGUGGGCAAUGGAGCAUGGGCAAGGGGUGAGUGCUCUCUCUUACAUCUUAUCAGCAUCCCUGUCUGUUUCAUUCUGGAUGUCUACCUUUUAGA